UACGUAGGUGGCAAGCGUUGUCCGGAAUUAUUGGGCGUAAAGCGCGCGCAGGCGGAUCAGUCAGUCUGUCUUAAAAGUUCGGGGCUUAACCCCGUGAUGGGAUGGAAACUGCUGAUCUAGAGUAUCGGAGAGGAAAGUGGAAUUCCUAGUGUAGCGGUGAAAUGCGUAGAUAUUAGGAAGAACACCAGUGGCGAAGGCGACUUUCUGGACGAACACUGACGCUGAGGCGCGAAAGCCAGGGGAGCGAACGGG
rnacentral:rRNA from 1 species